GGCCAAGUUUUUAAGGGCGCACGGUGGAUGCCUUGGCACCAGGAACCGAUGAAGGACGUGGGAGGCCACGAUAGUCCCCGGGGAGUCGUCAACCAGGCUUUGAUCCGGGGGUUUCCGAAUGGGGAAACCCGGCAGUCGUCAUGGGCUGUCACCCGCUGCUGAACACAUAGGCAGUGUGGAGGGAACGCGGGGAAGUGAAACAUCUCAGUACCCGCAGGAAGAGAAAACAACCGUGAUUCCGGGAGUAGUGGCGAGCGAAACUGGAUGAGGCCAAACCGUAUACGUGUGAGACCCGGCAGGGGUUGCGUGUGCGGGGUUGUGGGAUCUCUCUUCUACGGUCUGCCGGCCGUAGGGCGAGUCAGAAACCGUUGAUGUAGGCGAAGGACAUGCGAAAGGUCCGGCGUAGAGGGUAAGACCCCCGUAGUCGAAACGUCAGCGGCUUGCUUGAGAGACACCCAAGUAGCACGGGGCCCGAGAAAUCCCGUGUGAAUCUGGCGGGACCACCCGCUAAGCCUAAAUAUUCCCUGGUGACCGAUAGCGGAUAGUACCGUGAGGGAAUGGUGAAAAGUACCGCGGGAGCGGAGUGAAAUAGUACCUGAAACCGUGUGCCUACAAGCCGUGGGAGCGUCGGACAUCAAGCUUGCUUGGUGUCUCGUGACUGCGUGCCUUUUGAAGAAUGAGCCUGCGAGUUUGCGGUGUGUUGCGAGGUUAACCCGGGUGGGGUAGCCGUAGCGAAAGCGAGUCCGAACAGGGCGAUUUUAGUAGCACGCUCAAGACCCGAAGCGGAGUGAUCUAGCCAUGGGCAGGUUGAAGCGGAGGUAAGACUUCGUGGAGGACCGAACCCACCAGGGUUGAAAACCUGGGGGAUGACCUGUGGUUAGGGGUGAAAGGCCAAUCAAACUCCGUGAUAGCUGGUUCUCCCCGAAAUGCAUUUAGGUGCAGCGUCGUGUGUUUCUUGCCGGAGGUAGAGCACUGGAUAGGCGAUGGGCCCUACCGGGUUACUGACCUUAGCCAAACUCCGAAUGCCGGUAAGUGAGAGCGCGGCAGUGAGACUGUGGGGGAUAAGCUCCAUGGUCGAGAGGGAAACAGCCCAGAGCAUCGACUAAGGCCCCUAAGCGUACGCUAAGUGGGAAAGGAUGUGGAGUCGCACAGACAACCAGGAGGUUGGCUUAGAAGCAGCCACCCUUGAAAGAGUGCGUAAUAGCUCACUGGUCUAGUGAUUCCGCGCCGACAAUGUAGCGGGGCUCAAGCGUACCGCCGAAGUCGUGUCAUUGCAGCAAUACGGCCAACGCCGGCUGUGAUGGGUAGGGGAGCGUCGUGUGCCGGGUGAAGCAGCGCCGGAAGGCAGUUGUGGACGGUUCACGAGUGAGAAUGCAGGCAUGAGUAGCGAUACAAACGUGAGAAACGUUUGCGCCGAUUGACUAAGGGUUCCUGGGUCAAGCUGAUCUGCCCAGGGUAAGUCGGGACCUAAGGCGAGGCCGACAGGCGUAGUCGAUGGAUAACCGGUUGAUAUUCCGGUACCCGCUGUGAAGCGUCAAACAUCGAGCAUCGUGAUGCUAAGGCCGUGAAGCCGCCCUGAUCUCUUCGGAGUUGAGGGGAGUGGUGGAGCCGCUGAACCAAGCGGUUAGUAGGUGAGUGAUGGGGUGACGCAGGAAGGUAGUCCAUCCCGGGCGGUGGUUGUCCCGGGGUAAGGGUGUAGGCCGUGCGGUAGGUAAAUCCGUCGCACACAAGGUUGAGACCUGAUGCCGAGCCGAUUGUGGUGAAGUGGAUGAUCCUAUGCUGUCGAGAAAAGCCUCUAGCGAGUUUCAUGGCGGCCCGUACCCUAAACCGACUCAGGUGGUCAGGUAGAGAAUNNNNNNNNNNNNNNNNNNNNNNNNNNNNNNNNNNNNNNNNNNNNNNNNNNGGGGGUGGCCGCAGAGACCAGCGAGAAGCGACUGUUUACUAAAAACACAGGUCCGUGCGAAGCCGUAAGGCGAUGUAUACGGACUGACGCCUGCCCGGUGCUGGAACGUUAAGGGGACCGGUUAGCUUGGAUUCGUCCAGGCGAAGCUGAGAACUUAAGCGCCAGUAAACGGCGGUGGUAACUAUAACCAUCCUAAGGUAGCGAAAUUCCUUGUCGGGUAAGUUCCGACCUGCACGAAUGGCGUAACGACUUCUCGACUGUCUCAACCAUAGGCCCGGUGAAAUUGCACUACGAGUAAAGAUGCUCGUUUCGCGCAGCAGGACGGAAAGACCCCGGGACCUUUACUACAGUUUGAUAUUGGUGUUCGGUUCGGCUUGUGUAGGAUAGCUGGGAGACUUUGAAGCUCGCACGCCAGUGUGGGUGGAGUCGUCGUUGAAAUACCAGUCUGGUCGUGCUGGAUGUCUAACCUGGGUCCGUGAUCCGGAUCAGGGACAGUGUCUGAUGGGUAGUUUAACUGGGGCGGUUGCCUCCUAAAGAGUAACGGAGGCGCCCAAAGGUUCCCUCAGCCUGGUUGGCAAUCAGGUGUUGAGUGUAAGUGCACAAGGGAGCUUGACUGUGAGACCGACGGGUCGAGCAGGGACGAAAGUCGGGACUAGUGAUCCGGCGGUGGCUUGUGGAAGCGCCGUCGCUCAACGGAUAAAAGGUACCCCGGGGAUAACAGGCUGAUCUUCCCCAAGAGUCCAUAUCGACGGGAUGGUUUGGCACCUCGAUGUCGGCUCGUCGCAUCCUGGGGCUGGAGUCGGUCCCAAGGGUUGGGCUGUUCGCCCAUUAAAGCGGUACGCGAGCUGGGUUUAGAACGUCGUGAGACAGUUCGGUCCCUAUCCGCUGUGCGCGUAGGAGUCUUGAGAAGGGCUGUCCCUAGUACGAGAGGACCGGGACGGACGAACCUCUGGUGUGCCAGUUGUUCUGCCAAGGGCAUGGCUGGUUGGCUACGUUCGGGAGGGAUAACCGCUGAAAGCAUCUAAGCGGGAAGCCUGCUUCGAGAUGAGGACUCCCACCCACUUGAUGGGGUAAGGCUCCCAGUAGACGACUGGGUUGAUAGGCCAGAUAUGGAAGCCGGGUAACCGGUGGAGUUGACUGGUACUAAUAGGCCGAGGGCUUGUCCUC
rnacentral:rRNA from 1 species